AGUGCAGGUUUCCAGUGCAUGGUAUGGAACCACCUACGUUGAAGAGAUGUGAACAAACAGCCUCACACUCCACCGCCACCAACUCCAGCUGCUCCGACUGCCACGUUCCUCAGCACGGUGGACUGUCACCUCCAACUGUGAACCGAGAUGAGUUCUUCCUCCCUUAGGUUGCUUUUGGUCAGCUUUUGGUUAGAGUAACAAGGAAAUCAAUCAAUACAACCAUUAAAAAUGUAAUAAUCAUUAAAGGCUGUGCCAGUGGUAUUUCAGAAUGA